UCCCCUUUUACUCUCCCUUUCUCCUCUCUCCUCACUCUUUGAGCCGCCGCCGCUCCGCCAUCCCUCAGCCACUGCCACCACCGUGAGCCGCUGCCGGUGUUGGUACAAACCACCCUAUAUUUUUACCACUUCUUCCUCUCAACCUCCUCUCCAUGAAUCCAAGCCUCAUAUCCUCCAAAUCUCCAUAGAUCUACCCAAAUCCGAAGCCCUAGCCUUCUUCUAUUUUUGAGUUUCAUCAAGGUUGAACCAUCUUUACCCUACGAUACAAGCAUAAACGGGUAGGUCUCUUUGAGGUCUACCCUUUACCCUUAGUUUCAUCCUGAAAGUCCAUCCACUACCGUCGGACUCCGGCGACCACCACUACCGUCCCACCACCUUCACUACCAGAUGACCCGACUGUCCGAAGCCAUCUUCUAGACCUAGGCACGUUUUUCUUCAAGAUAAAAAUGCUAGUUUCAAUGGCCGCCUGCCAAGGAAAUUACAGUGGCAUUUUAUCUCAAAGAAAAAUGUGCUCGAGUCGGCUGCCUCGUUGCAGAACCGAGCUUAUGAUUUUGUUUAGCAAUAACUGAAGAUUUGAAUCUGUUUAGAUUGCUGGGAUGCACUUGAUUUCAUUUUAUGAGUUUGUUUAAGUGCUUUAACGUUUUUAUGUAUGGCUCAAGUAUGUGAAUAUGUAACUGAUAGCUUGAAGUUUUUAUUCUUCCUUAAAUGUUAGUCGAAGCACUCUGUUAAUCUCGUUUAGUCACGGAAAAGAUCAUAUACUAGCCAUUAUUGCUUUGACAUGAUUUCUUUGUCUAAUUCUCGAAAGAGGAGGUGUUUAUAAGCAUGUACUACUGUUAGGUGUUUCUGGGAGGCUCAUGCCAUCACUGUUCGGAUACUAGAGCUAAACGAAAAUUGACCAAUGUUCAAGUUAAAUUAGUUAGAGUAAGCACGAUAUAAAAAGAGGUGUUUGAAGGUUAAUAGAUUUUAGCAUAGUUCAUUAAGUUCGACUUUUGAGUGUUGGAGUGAACUAAUUAGUCAAGUCUAUAAUCUUAGUAAGUGAAUAUGCAUUUUCUCUUUUAGCAGAUGAGUUGGGUGGUUUAGUUUGGGGAGUAACAAUUUGUUAAGUAAAAGGAGAUCUAUCCAUGUAUUUUAAUUUAUUAGCCUAAAAUUAAUAUUAUUGUGUUUUGCU